rnacentral:tRNA from 1 species
GGAGGCAUAGCUCAGCCGGUAGAGCACUUGCUUCACACGCAAGGGGUCGGGGAUUCGAGUUCCUCUGUCUCCACCA